AAGAAGUUAGUUAAAAUAUAUAACACUAAUUUGUCAAAUUAAAAUUAUUAAUUAAUACUUCUUA
rnacentral:tRNA from 1 species